rfam:Leifsonia sp. Root60 contig_1, whole genome shotgun sequence.
UGGGUCGGCAAGACGACCGCGUCAUCCGCAGUGCGGAUGCCGAGGAACGUCCGGGCUCCGCAGAGCAGGGCGGUGGGUAACACCCACCCGGGGUGACCCGCGAGACAGUGCCACAGAGAACAGACCGCCACGGGCUUCGGCCCGGGGUAAGGGUGAAACGGUGGGGUAAGAGCCCACCAGCGGCCGUGGUGACGCGGUCGGCUCGGUAAACCUCGCCCGGAGCAAGGUCAGACAGGGAACGAUGGGGCUGCUCGUCCCGUUCCCGGGUAGGCCGCUGGAGGGCUGCGGCAACGUAGUCCCGAGAGAGAUGGUCGUCCAGCCGGAGUCGCGCAAGCGCCCGGUGAACAGAACCCGGCGUACUAGCCGGCCCACUCA